CCCAGCCCUGCCACCUCUCCCAGAUGAGUCAGGCUGCUCCCAGCCAGAGAGAGCGCGGUAGGUGAGUCGCCGGCCAGCUGGAGCCGACAGCGCGCCGCUCUGCGGAACGCGCAGCCCCUCCCGGGCGGGGACAGACGAGGCAGCUUCCUUUUGUGUUUAUUUCCUGGUGUGGAGUCUUGAUGGGACUGUGAGGCGUGUCCACACCUAGGGCAGGAGGGAGUCCAAAUGGUAAAUUCAGUCCAAACCUCUACUGGGGAUGUAGAAUGGCAUCUGAAUCCAGGAAUGUGGAGCUUCC